rnacentral:rRNA from 1 species
UGGAUCCAGACUUUGAUUAUGGCUCAGGAUGAACGCUAGCUACAGGCUUAACACAUGCAAGUCGAGGGGAAACGACAUCGAAAGCUUGCUUUUGAUGGGCGUCGACCGGCGCACGGGUGAGUAACGCGUAUCCAACCUGCCCACCACUUGGGGAUAACCUUGCGAAAGUAAGACUAAUACCCAAUGAUAUCUCUAGAAGACAUCUGAAAGAGAUUAAAGAUUUAUCGGUGAUGGAUGGGGAUGCGUCUGAUUAGCUUGUUGGCGGGGUAACGGCCCACCAAGGCUACGAUCAGUAGGGGUUCCGAGAGGAAGGUCCCCCACAUUGGAACUGAGACACGGUCCAAACUCCUACGGGAGGCAGCAGUGAGGAAUAUUGGUCAAUGGACGAGAGUCUGAACCAGCCAAGUAGCGUGCAGGAUGACGGCCCUAUGGGUUGUAAACUGCUUUUAUAAGGGAAUAAAGUGAGUCUCGUGAGACUUUUUGCAUGUACCUUAUGAAUAAGGACCGGCUAAUUCCGUGCCAGCAGCCGCGGUAAUACGGAAGGUUCGGGCGUUAUCCGGAUUUAUUGGGUUUAAAGGGAGCGUAGGCCGGAGAUUAAGCGUGUUGUGAAAUGUAGAUGCUCAACAUCUGCACUGCAGCGCGAACUGGUUUCCUUGAGUACGCACAAAGUGGGCGGAAUUCGUGGUGUAGCGGUGAAAUGCUUAGAUAUCACGAAGAACUCCGAUUGCGAAGGCAGCUCACUGGAGCGCAACUGACGCUGAAGCUCGAAAGUGCGGGUAUCGAACAGGAUUAGAUACCCUGGUAGUCCGCACGGUAAACGAUGGAUGCCCGCUGUUGGUCUGAAUAGGUCAGCGGCCAAGCGAAAGCAUUAAGCAUCCCACCUGGGGAGUACGCCGGCAACGGUGCAACUCAAAGGAAUUGACGGA